AGACAGACGAGGCAGAGGUGAGGAAAAACUCCCCGAGAUGACAGAAGGGAUAAAACUAGCGAGAGUCAAAAAGGAACCCAUCCUCUUCUGGAAAACCAUCUUUAAAGAACAACCCUGAUGUGACAGAGGCAAGAAAAACUCCCUAUGUUGAUAUGAGGGAUAAAAGCUUGAGGGGAACCAGAUUCAAAAGGAUGGGUUCUCAUGAGGCUGGUUCUGUACUCAGUAACAAACUGAAAUCUCAUCCACCAACUCUGCUCAAUGGGAAGAAAUGAAUCUGAAGAUUUAAAGGCAACAGAAGUCAAUAAUUUUGGAGGCUUUUUAACAGCCAGAGAAUUUGGAGAACUUAGAGGAAACCCUGCUGAGAAGUGAAUGGACAGACAAGAGCGAUGGAGAGAGAAAGAGAGAGAGAGAACGAAGGAAGGAAGGAAAGAAAGAAGGAAAGAAAAAAGGACACAUUAUUUAUUCAUGAUGCAUCCGUAAUGAUUUCUAUUACCAGAUAGAUUGCCUUCUGUUAAUGGCCACUCUCUCUUUAUCUCUCUCUAUAUUUCUCCCGAGUCGUUUUUAUACUGCAGAACGGAACACGGCAUCGACGUCGGAUGAGGGCAGAACAGACGAGCUGAGAUCAGCGAGGUGGGGUGAGAACGAGAGAGAGAGAGAGUGCCAGUGUCCGUCCCUUCAUCUCCAGAGGCCCUUGUCAGAGGUUAGAGCAGUCCAGUCUCUGGCAAAAGAAUUUCCUUCAGGAGUAUCUCAUCUCAUCUCAUCUCAUCUCAUCUCAUCUCAUCUCAUCUCAUCUCAUCUCAUCUCAUUGUACAACAGCACUCACCCUCAUUCCCUCACUAUGGACAAUUUAAAGAUGCCAAUCAGUCUAAAACAAAGUCUUUGGACUGGGGAAGGAACCCUGAGGAACCCCCUGAUGCAUGGGGAGAACAUGUGGACUCUGCACACCGAGCAGACCCAGGAAUCAAAGUCCUGGAGCCCAUCCUUGGAGGUUGGGGUCCAAGCACAGGGUCAGCCAUGAUACAGCACCCCUGGAGCAGAGAGGGUUAAGGGCCUUGCUCAAGGGCCCAACAGUGGCAACUUGGCAGUGCUGGGGCUUGAACUCCUGAUCUUCU